CUUUUCUGACAUGGAAGCUCUCCCAGACUCAGAGAUUCAGCUUUCUCCAUCUCUGCUGCCCUUUCCAUCACUCCUCCAUAUCUCCUUCUUGGGUUUUCAAUUUGAAAUAUCCGCCCUGAGUCUGAACAUCCAAGACAUAAUGGACUUGCCUGUCGGGCUGUAGGGGGCAUCAUCAGAACUUUUUCUUUUCUUUGAUCGUGAUUUGAAUACUGGAUUAUCUUCAUCGGAUUCCAAAGAUGGGUAAACUAAACCAGGAACAAAAAAAUAGCUUUUAUUGCAGCAGUAUUAAACAGGAGUUUGAGGGAGGGGAAAAAACAAGGCUGGAUUAAAGCACAAGCUCACUGCAGGCCAGUGCCGAGGACUCCUGCUCCUGGACUGAUGUGAUCACAUCAGAAUCUCAACUUCAUUUUAAAAAAGGCAAGAACAGGGAUUCAGAAUUGCUGCUUUCUGUAGACUACAAUGGACUUCUUACUCCCCCCGAUCCCAAUAUAUGCUCCUGGAACAGAAGUCAGGAUCUACUGAAAAGGAAGAGGAAGGAAGGCCUUCCUUACGCUUGAGUACCGGCUGAAAGGACUGCUAUAUCAGGAGGUCAGAGCUGCUUGGAAGAGAGCUGAGGACAUGAGGAAGUGGACUGUGCCAGGGUGGAGUGAAGAGAUGGGCCCCCUCCUGAAGUCAAUGGGCCGGAGACCCAGAGCCUGUAUCUGCUCAAGCAGGCUCACUGGGGCUGAAAUCUGAUGAACAGGGCUGCUCUGCAGUGGAGCCAAAGCAGGGAGGCCCCACGCAGUGACCCAAACACACCAGGAUUCAACUGGGUUUUGACUCCCUUGGAACUAGAGAGAAAAAUAUUAUAAAAUCCGAAAUGAAAACAUUUUCACACGGAAAACAUAUCAAGGAGAUACACAGCCACAUAUCAAGGCCUGCAAUAAAAUGAACUGUGGAGGAGGACGAGACAAAAGAGGAAAAGAAAGGGAGACGAGGAGGACAAAGCAAGAGGAGAGAAGAUGAGAAGGGCACCCGAUCAACUACAAAUGGCACACAGGGAUAGAUCACAGUGCAGAAUCAGGCAGAAUGUGUCUCUCUAAAGAGCAUAUACAGUGUGUUCGGAUACACACCCUGAAGGGCGGAAUAGCUCCAGUUAAAUGCUGCACUGACUACCAGUUCCAGUAUUUUUUUAACAUGUAUAUUAUUUACUCAGUGAUCCAGGUCUCAUUUAAUUAGGUAAAUAUUAGAACCAUGCCAGAAAAUAGGGGACUUUUUCUUUUACUACUGAGAAAAGUGGGAUUCAAAAAAGCGUUAAUGAAAAAAUACUGGUGUUUUAGCCUAAGGCAAGUUUUUACAGCCAAGAUAUAAACUACCGUUAAUAGAGAUUUAUAAUUGACACAUUCUAACUAGAGUACCAAUGUAAAACGAUACAUAUACAAAUUAAUCUGAACUGCUACUAUCUCUGUAAAACCACUACUAGGGAUCCGAUUUCAUGACUAAGAAAUAUUUUAAGCAUAUUGUAGAUAGAAUUUACUUACGGUACUUAAAAAUAAUAAAAACGUAAGCACAAUUUUUACUUUUGAACAUAAGGACAAGUUUGUCACCUCCCUGUCUACACCCCUCCCCCCCAAUAUAGUACAUUUAUCCUUUAUAAUUCAAUGUGUAUUGCCACAUUUUUACUUACCCGAGCA